AUAGAUGCGAACAGAGUUGCUCAGAAGGGUUUGGUAACUUGCUGAGCAUUGAACAACUCAUGCAGUGGACUCAAGAGAAAAACGAGGAAAAGAAAGACAUAGCGGCCCCGAAUGAUGAGCAUCCACUUGGUCCGGUAUUUUUAGCUGGUGCUUGGCCCGAUCUUCUGAGUCCUGACCACGGACGCUCCUGAGGUGACAUCAGUGACAGCAGGUAUCUCAGCGAGCUUCGUUGCCAUGGUCAGUCUUUUCAUAUUUCCUAUUUUGUUGAGGUUAAGAAAUGGUCCUUCCUCAUUUAACAAAAUGCCAACAGA
rnacentral:lncRNA from 1 species